AGCGCAUUUUCGUCGUGAUUUGGAAGCGUCCAGCGUCGUCUCUCACACGCCACGCAGCUUGGCCAGAAAUUGUUUGACUGGGCGAUACCGAAGCAAUCGCUCACCUCAAAUUGAGUACUGGGCCCAGUCGACCGUCAUAGGCGCAUCGUCUUUAUUUGCAGGACAGCACUUAGUGUCAUGGUUUGGAAACAUCCGUUGGCGUCUCUCACUCGCCACGAAGCUUGCCAGUAAUUGCAUGUCAGUUGGCUUGGCGGUCACAGUAACGCAUUCAAUCGGCUCAAUAGUAAUGGAUGGCCUGGAAGCAGGCCGGUAGCGAUUCAGAUUGCUAGAUGGAGCCCAACAGGAGCUGCUGAGCUGUUGCCCACUUUGUUUGAGAGGGCGGUGCCGGAGCUGUCGCUCACUCCAGGUUGAGUAUUUAGCCAGCAGGCCGUCGUGGAGCAUGUCAUCUUCUUGGACAGCGCAUCAUCUUCGUGAUUUGGAAAUAUCUGGUGGCGUCUCUCACACGCCACGCAGCUUGACCAGGAAUUGUUUGUAUGAGCGAUACCGAAGCAGUCGCUCACUUCAAAUGAGUAUUUGGCCCAAUUUACCGUCGUGGGUGCAUCGUCUUCUUGGGCAGCAGUUCUGCGUCUUGCUUUAGAAACAUUCAUUGUCGUCUCUCACACUCCACAAUCCGUCCAGUAGUUGCAUGUCAGCAGACCCGGGUGGCCCGCAAACAGGCCGGUUGCAGUUCAGGAUGCUAGAUGGAGCCCACAAGGAGCUGCUGGGCUGUUGAAUACCUUGUUCGAGUGGGCGAUGCCGAGGCCGUCGCUCACUCCAAAUUGAGUUCCCAAACCUUGCUUGCAGGACAGCGCAUCAUCGUCGCGGUUUGGAAACAUCCAGUGGCGUCUCUCACACGCCAUGCAGUUUGGCCAGGAAUUGUUUGAAUGGGCGAUACCGAAGCAGUCGCCCACUCUAAAUUGGGCAUUCGACCAGCAGGCCGUCGUGGAGCAUGUCAUCUUUUGGACAGCGCAUUUUCGUCGUGAUUUGGAAGCGUCCAGCGUCGUCUCUCACACGCCACGCAGCUUGGCCAGAAAUUGUUUGACUGGGCGAUACCGAAGCAAUCGCUCACCUCAAAUUGAGUACUGGGCCCAGUCGACCGUCAUAGGCGCAUCGUCUUUAUUUGCAGGACAGCACUUAGUGUCAUGGUUUGGAAACAUCCGUUGGCGUCUCUCACUCGCCACGAAGCUUGCCAGUAAUUGCAUGUCAGUUGGCUUGGCGGUCACAGUAACGCAUUCAAUCGGCUCAAUAGUAAUGGAUGGCCUGGAAGCAGGCCGGUAGCGAUUCAGAUUGCUAGAUGGAGCCCAACAGGAGCUGCUGAGCUGUUGCCCACUUUGUUUGAGAGGGCGGUGCCGGAGCUGUCGCUCACUCCAGGUUGAGUAUUUAGCCAGCAGGCCGUCGUGGAGCAUGUCAUCUUCUUGGACAGCGCAUCAUCUUCGUGAUUUGGAAAUAUCUGGUGGCGUCUCUCACACGCCACGCAGCUUGACCAGGAAUUGUUUGUAUGAGCGAUACCGAAGCAGUCGCUCACUUCAAAUGAGUAUUUGGCCCAAUUUACCGUCGUGGGUGCAUCGUCUUCUUGGGCAGCAGUUCUGCGUCUUGCUUUAGAAACAUUCAUUGUCGUCUCUCACACUCCACAAUCCGUCCAGUAGUUGCAUGUCAGCAGACCCGGGUGGCCCGCAAACAGGCCGGUUGCAGUUCAGGAUGCUAGAUGGAGCCCACAAGGAGCUGCUGGGCUGUUGAAUACCUUGUUCGAGUGGGCGAUGCCGAGGCCGUCGCUCACUCCAAAUUGAGUUCCCAAACCUUGCUUGCAGGACAGCGCAUCAUCGUCGCGGUUUGGAAACAUCCAGUGGCGUCUCUCACACGCCAUGCAGUUUGGCCAGGAAUUGUUUGAAUGGGCGAUACCGAAGCAGUCGCCCACUCUAAAUUGGGCAUUCGACCAGCAGGCCGUCGUGGAGCAUGUCAUCUUUUGGACAGCGCAUCAUCAUUCGUGAUUUGGAAAUAUCUGGUGGCGUCUCUCACACGCCACGCAGCUUGUCCAGAAUUUACAUAUCAGUCGACUUGGUAGUCACAGCAGCGUAUUAAAUCGGCUCCGUUGUACUUGAUGGCAUGCAAGCAGGCUGUUUGCGUUUCAGGAUGCUGGAUGAGCCCACAAAGAGCUGCUGAGCUGUUGCAUAUUUUGUUUGAGUGGGCGAUGCCGAGGCACUCGCUCACUCCAAAUUGAGAAUUUGGCCCAGUUGGCCGUCGUGGGCGCAUCGUGUUCUUGGUCAGCACUUCUGUGUCGUGGUUUGGAAACAUCUAUUGGCGUCUCUCAGACUCCACAAUUUGUCGAGGAAUUGCAUGUCAGCUGACUUGGCGGCAAAGUAUUAAAUCGGUUCCGUUAUGAGUCAGGAUGUUGGAUGGAGCCCACAAGGAGCAGUUGAGCUAUUUCAUAUUUGUUUUGAUCAUCUUGGGAGCUUGCGACUUCCAUGUCUUCAUUUAGAACGCGUUCCAAUGUUAACCGGACUCUCUGGAGGCCAUGCUCCAGGAGUGUUUCGUGGCUGAUGGCUGUAUUUAUCUGGGUGUGUUGUAGUUGCGGCUGCUGUGGUUGCGUCAGCGAUUGCAGGUUUCCUGUCCCCUGAGGUGAUGUCGUUAGCUGCUGUUGUGGCGUUACUGAUGCCUGUUGAGUCUGCAUUGGCAGAGUAUGCUGUGUUUGAUGAUUCUGCUGCCUCUCGUCCACAUAGUCUGGUAGGAUUAAUCGCUGGAUUGUUGGGGGUUGGCCUUGGAUGUUAGCCACUAGCUCUUCACGUGUAUUUGCUGGAGUUGGUGCCUGGCCUGGAUGACAGUCGUCGUUAGCUGAGUUUGUUGGAGUUGCGGCUGCUGUAGCUGCGGUUGCAACUGCGGAUUCACUGACUCCUGAGUUGGCGUAGUUAGCUGCUGUUGUUGCUG